CACAACAGCGUGGCUGCAGAAGCCCUGUCAUUGGAGCUGUCGUCGUUGUCUCCCCACAGCGAGAGAGCUUUUGCAAGUUUAAUCUCAUCACGGAGAAAGCUUUCAAAGACUUCAAAGGAAGUAUUUGGUGCUCAGCUUUUCCUUCCACCCAGUGAAGAAUGUGCCUGCAGUGCUUGUAACAAAACAGUCUGGCCGGUGCCAUUCAGAUCCUAACUUCGUAUAAAAGCCGUGCCUCGGAGGAAACUUCCAGUAACCGUCCACUGAUUCAAGAGAGACGCUCAACAAGAACAAUUUGGUUGAGCAUCUCGGCCAGAUGCUGAAUUCUUAGUGGCUGAUUCCCCUGGGAUUUAGGUCCUUCCCCUGCCUUCUGCAUCUGUCCUUCCCUGAGAGAACACCAUCCCUGCUCAGUGACCAAGGUCUACCCGGCACGGAGCCCUCAGAUAAUGUCUGCUAAACGUCUCCUUGAAGAGUGUGAUGUUGGAGGUGAACCCAGCAUCUGGGAGGCUGAGGCGUGUGACUCAUUAAAAUGGAGCCACGUGGCGGUGGCCCGUGAACCAGGACUGAAAUAGCUCCUUGCUCUGCUGACUCUCUUUAUCCUUCCCCUGGUGUGUUCCGGCUGGCAGCCCUCACCAUAUGCCAGCCAGCAGGUCAGUUACACGGAUGUCCAAAAACCUGGGUUUUGAGCAAUGUACAUGCUAUGUGUGCAUAUCUAUACGCGCAGGUGACAAAGGCAACCAGCCACAGGCGGUCCUCAUUGCUGGUUCUCCCGGUGACCCAGGUACACGUCCCUGAGUUUCAUCCCUUCCUGUUGAGAAUUUAGUCAGGAGGUGACAUUCACCAGACUGAACACAGCGACUGUGGCUUUUUGAAAGGGCAGCUCCAAGUCCAGACGGAACCACAGAACAGGACCAAAAAACGUGAUUAAAGAAGAUGGAGUCUCGCUCUGUCACCCAGGCUGGAGUGCAGUGGCACGAUCUCAGCUCACU